AUGCGGGACUCAUCAGAGGCCUCGCAAUUGGAAUGAGCGCACUUUAAAUCGUUCGACGAGGAUCUAUUGGAGGGCAAGUCUGGUGCCAGCAGCCGCGGUAAUUCCAGCUCCAAUAGCGUAUAUUAAAGUUGUUGCAGUUAAAAAGCUCGUGGUUGGAUCUGGGGUUCGGGUCGGCGGUUUGCCGCUUCGGCGGCUACUGCCGUGCUCGACUCUUACUAGCCGGUGCGUCUUGCGGUGCUCUUCAUCGAGUGCCGUAGGAGCCUGGCAUGUUUACUUUGAAAAAAUUAGAGUGCUCAAAGCAGGCGAUUCCGCCUGAAUAGUGUUGCAUGGAAUAAUGGAAUAGGACCUCGGUUCUAUUUUGUUGGUUUUCGGAACUUGAGGUAAUGAUUAAGAGGGACGGUCGGGGGCAUUCGUAUUUCGGUGUUAGAGGUGAAAUUCUUGGAUCGCUGAAAGACGGACAAAUGCGAAAGCAUCUGCCAAGAACGUCUCCAUUAAUCAAGAACGAAAGUCAGAGGUUCGAAGACGAUCAGACACCGUCCUAGUUCUGACCAUAAACGAUGCCAACUAGCGAUCCGCAGUGGUUGCUAUAAACGGACUCUGCGAGCAGCUUCCGGGAAACCAAAGUGUUUGGGUUCCGGGGGAAGUAUGCUUGCAAAGCUGAAACUUAAAGGAAUUGACGGAAGGGCACCACCAGGAGUGGAGCCUGCGGCUUAAUUUGACCCAACACGGGGAAACUCACCCGGUCCGGACACUGUAAGGAUUGACAGAUCGAGAGCUCUUUCUUGAUUCGGUGGAUGGUGGUGCAUGGCCGUUCUUAGUUGGUGGAGUGAUUUGUCUGGUUAAUUCCGAUAACGAACGAGACUCUAGCCUGCUAACUAGUUGCGCCGUGUUCAUACGCGGCUGUAGACUUCUUAGAGGGACAGGUGGCGUUUAGCCACACGAAAUUGAGCAAUAACAGGUCUGUGAUGCCCUUAGAUGUCCGGGGCCGCACGCGCGCUACACUGAAGGAGUCAGCGUGUGCUAUCCGGGCUCGGAAGAGUUCGGUAACCCGUUGAAACUCCUUCGUGCUUGGGAUUGUGGCUUGUAAUUAUCGCGCAUGAACGAGGAAUUCCCAGUAAGUGCAAGUCAUCAGCUUGCGCUGACUACGUCCCUGCCCUUUGUACACACCGCCCGUCGCUACUACCGAUUGAAUGGUUUAGCAAGGUACUCGGAUUGGUCUCGAUCUUGUACGAAAGUGCGGGAUCUGUGGCCGAGAAGAAGGCCAAACUUGAUCAUUUAGAGGAAGUAAA
rnacentral:rRNA from 1 species